AGGCAACAUAGUUUUGUCCCUUACGGUCAUCUCUCUCUCGCCCCCCUCUCUCCGUGACUUCUCUCCUCCCUUGUAUAUAGCGCAUCCUCUGGUAAUGCGUUUUCCGGCGACUUCACGGAUAGACAAGGCGACGCUUCGGCGUCUGUGGACCUCGUUGCCCCAUGAACAAUUGGACAAGAACUUCUGGGUUGCGCUGGAGGCCUUCUGUGAACCGUUCCUGGACUCGUGCUCCCCUUUCAAUCACCAAACCUUCUUCUCGGUGCCCCGGACGGGCCGCAUCUUGCAGGAAGAGCUCACGCUGGUGGACCAAGCUAUUGUGAAGGCGUGCAAUGAGCAGCGUCCCUUCUAUAACGCCUUCACUCUAUGGAACCCGCUCGCGCUGGCGGCGCUAUUUAAAGUGCCGAUCGAGGUGGUGACGGCGCAACUGCUCCUCGCGGUGCAGCAGUCGUGGAUGUCCGUCUACUUUGUCAUCACUUGCCGGUCGUGCGGCUGCGACGUUGCGCACUUCCGCUCCGUCAACGAUAUCUCCUUCGUUGGCACAUUUCACUCGACGAACGCAUUUCGCUGCCCGAUGUGCACCGAUCGCACUGAGGUUAAUGAGCUGAGGAACGUCGCCGUGUUCUUCCAGCUGGGGCGGCUGCCUGCGCUCUUUCAGCGCCGGUACCACCGCCUUUACUACACCGAAGAGGCGGGUCGGCGACGUCUGGAGUCUUUCUUCUGCCCAGCGCAGGCCGGCUUCGCGUUCAGGGCACACCUGCCGAAUGGACGCUAUCUCCUGUCAGCACCAUUUUGUGGCGCCUUUGUCGAGUUCUCGGUGGAUCUCUCCGCGCAGGCGAUUGGAGAGAAGGCCCCCUAUCUGUCGCAUAUUGUAGACUUGAAGGCCUACAUCCGUUUUCAGAACAGCUCUGCGGAUCCCUUCGGGCAGCCCAUCAAGCGGUGCAGCACCACCGCCCCCGCGCUGCCGCGUCGUGGGAUGAGGGCUAGCGCGGUCAGCGAUGCGCUGCAUCGCGUGUCCAUCGGAUGCAUCUCGCAGUUGUCCCUCUCGGAUGCCAUUCACCCCGAGGAAGCCGCCAAUUCUGUCACUGGUUUCGGGGCCGAGAACACCGAGGAGAUCCCGCGAGUCCCAGUGGUCAGCUUAAAACACGGCAAGGUGCAGUUCCGUAUUUACAAUGACACUCCCCACAGCGGGUUUCUCGACCUAUUCGUUGCUUUCGACACGCGCAUCGAGUUUUCCGCUAACCCGUACCCGCAACUCUUCCAGGUUCCACACUUUAUGCACUGCCUGCCGCGUGGCAUGCGCUCCUCCUUCUUCACCGAGUGCAUUCCGAGGCCGCCGUCGACGACACCAACGACCGGCGCAUAUGUGCGCCACCAGUUUGCCUUGCGCCGCGAGCAGGCCGACGACCCUAACAUCAUUUCGGUGCUGCGCGAGGUGCACCGGUACUCUCUCGAGGACCACUACGGCCUGCUCAUCGGCGUCGGCGACGGUGGCGCCUCUUUUGAGAGUACUUUUCUCUCUACCACAGCUGCCUUGGCGAGCAGCAUCUGCUUCUUCCAGCGUGUGCUGACGCGCCUAGGUGAACCGGUCGCCCUCGCCAUGCGGUGCAGCGUCACAGAGGGCCCGCUGAAGAUUGCCGCCUACCAAGGCCAGUACAACGACACUGACAAUACCCGAUCAAGCUACCCAGACGCGCAGUUUGUCGGCUCCGUCGUUUACGCGAGCAACCACCCGCCCAUCACCGGCCCGUACUUGUACUGCACGGAGGUCGAGCCGCCUAAAACCGCAGUCGUUGAGACAAACGACGACGGAACGGGCAAGAAGGUUAUGGCGAGGCGGCUUGGUGCGCUCGACAAGUACCGUAGUCCUGCGUGGCUUCGCGACGAGAACAGCUCUUACUACGACCUCAGUGCUCCCUACGGCAGCCAUGCCACCAACAAGACGGCGGCCGGCGAGACUUCGCAGCAGGAGCGGCAGUGUCUUAUUCGUUUUGAGGUGCGCUGUGUGCCGUCGCUGAUCAACGACGAGACGGAGAUGUCGUCACGCCGCGCUUCGGCCUGCCCUCGGUUGACGCUACAGGAGGAUGGCAGCGACUCAACAGACGCCAUAUUGCCCUACUUCUUGGAGUUCUUGCGCGAGCACUUUGAGGGGGCAUCCGUGAAGGAGGAGGCACACGCCCUCGUGGUGCAGAUACCGCUACCCAUGAUCUACGCUGCAUUGCAGAUAUCCAGGAUUCUGGACAAGAAUGCUUACACCAAGGAGCUACGGGGCCCGUUCUAGGAAAAAAAAAGAGUGCCCAAGCGGGCCCGGGGUCUGCGGCGUAUCUACCCUUCGGUGCGUGAUGUGGGUCGCAGCAGACUUCUCCGUUUAGUCUUCGCUCUCUGAGCAACGGUGCGCUGGUUUUGGCGUGAAAGAAACCUUGGUGAGAAGCUCACAGGAGGCUUUUGGUGUACACGCAAAGGAACAAAAAGGUGCACACAAGCGAAUUGUGCUGAGGGCACAGGAUCAGCCGACACCUGCGCAUCUCGCCCCCUUCCCCCUCUCCUCCUUUCCCACUCGCGCGUCUGCGUGAUGCUUGUGUAGUUUUUCGUUUCGACGUCCCCUUCAUGUACACUACGGUUAGGAGCACCUGCUGCUUGUAUUCUUGUUGUUCCGUCCUUUCUAUUUUUUUUUGUGUGUAAUCGGUCUCUUGGAGCGCUGUCUUCCACACCUCUUGCCCCUUUGAGAGGCGGUCACUUGCUUGACACCAGCACGCCUUGAAGGUUCCAUGGAGACGAUGGUGUUUCACAGGUCCGUGGGUCUACAUACAUCUCUUAUGCUGUCAAGCGUUGCUGCUGAUCUGCGUGAGCUGCGCUG
rnacentral:misc_RNA from 1 species